AUUGAACGCUGGCGGCAGGCCUAACACAUGCAAGUCGAGCGGAUGAAGGGAGCUUGCUCCUGGAUUCAGCGGCGGACGGGUGAGUAAUGCCUAGGAAUCUGCCUGGUAGUGGGGGAUAACGUCCGGAAACGGGCGCUAAUACCGCAUACGUCCUGAGGGAGAAAGUGGGGGAUCUUCGGACCUCACGCUAUCAGAUGAGCCUAGGUCGGAUUAGCUAGUUGGUGGGGUAAAGGCCUACCAAGGCGACGAUCCGUAACUGGUCUGAGAGGAUGAUCAGUCACACUGGAACUUAGACACGGUCCAGACUCCUAAGGGAGGCAGCAGUGGGGAAUAUUGGACAAUGGGCGAAAGCCUGAUCCAGCCAUGCCGCGUGUGUGAAGAAGGUCUUCGGAUUGUAAAGCACUUUAAGUUGGGAGGAAGGGCAGUAAGUUAAUACCUUGCUGUUUUGACGUUACCAACAGAAUAAGCACCGGCUAACUUCGUG
rnacentral:rRNA from 1 species